UUUAUGUUUAUUUUUGGCUGCAUUGGGUCUUCAUUGCUGUGUGCGGGCUUUCUCUAGUUGCAGCGAGCGGGGGCUACUCUUCAUUACGAAUGCCUGGGAGAUGAUACUUAAUGCAGAGUAAUUCAUUUCCAAGGAGAGAAUCUCAGGUAAUGGGGCCAGAAAGCAUAACUCUGUGCAAGACAGAAACCCAGGAGUGCUUCUGUGUCCUUCUUCUUCUCCAUCCCCAUUUCAAUCCGGCAUUGAUGUAUCAAUACUUCCAAAUAUCUCUUGAAUCCAUCUACAUCCCUCCAUCAUCGCUACUGUCACCCCAUCAUCACUCCAUUCCGUACUGAAGUGGCCUCCUGGAUGUCCUCACUGGGUCCCUCCU